ACCGGCAGCGCGGGUGCUUGCACCUGGCGGCGAGUGGCGAACGGGUGAGUAAUGUAUCGGAACGUGCCCAGUAGCGGGGGAUAACUACGCGAAAGCGUGGCUAAUACCGCAUACGCCCUUAGGGGGAAAGGUGGGGAUUCUUCGGAACCUGCCACUAUUGGAGCGGCCGAUAUCGGAUUAGCUAGUUGGUGGGGUAAAGGCCUACCAAGGCGACGAUCCGUAGCUGGUUUGAGAGGACGACCAGCCACACUGGGACUGAGACACGGCCCAGACUCCUACGGGAGGCAGCAGUGGGGAAUUUUGGACAAUGGGGGAAACCCUGAUCCAGCCAUUUCGCGUGUGCGAUGAAGGCCUUCGGGUUGUAAAGCACUUUUGGCGGGGAAGAAAAGCGCCGGGCUAAUACCCUGGCGUGCUGACGGUACCCGCAGAAUAAGCACCGGCUAACUACGUGCCAGCAGCCGCGGUAAUACGUAGGGUGCAAGCGUUAAUCGGAAUUACUGGGCGUAAAGGGUGCGUAGGCGGUUGCGCAAGACAGAUGUGAAAUCCCCGGGCUUAACCUGGGAAUUGCAUUUGUGACUGCGUGGCUAGAGUAUGUCAGAGGGGGGUAGAAUUCC
rnacentral:rRNA from 1 species